GACGAACGCUGGCGGCGUGCUUAACACAUGCAAGUCGAACGGAAAGGCCCUGCUUUUGUGGGGUGCUCGAGUGGCGAACGGGUGAGUAACACGUGAGUAACCUGCCCUUGACUUUGGGAUAACUUCAGGAAACUGGGGCUAAUACCGGAUAGGAGCUCCUGCUGCAUGGUGGGGGUUGGAAAGUUUCGGCGGUUGGGGAUGGACUCGCGGCUUAUCAGCUUGUUGGUGGGGUAGUGGCUUACCAAGGUGUUGACGGGUAGCCGGCCUGAGGGGGUGACCGGCCACAUUGGGACUGAGAUACGGCCCAGACUCCGACGGGAGGCAGCAGUGGGGAAUAUUGCACAAUGGGCGGAAGCCUGAUGCAGCAACGCCGCGUGCGGGAUAACGGCCUUCGGGUUGUAAACCGCUUUCGCCAGUGACGAAGCGUGAGUGACGGUAAUGGGUAAAGAAGCACCGGCUAACUACGUG
rnacentral:rRNA from 1 species